UGGUAACCGCCUCUCACAGAGGCAAGCCAGGACCCAUCGAGUCUGAUCCACGAACACAAGCAGUAACAGCUCCACGUCUCCCUAGCACCAUCAUAUUUCCCGCGAAGACUAACUACCUCAAACUCGAAAAACCCCAAUUUUUUUCGAGGAAGUGAAGCCUUUUCGUUUGAAUCCUGAGACAAUUUUUGAGGCCAUUUGGAGGAGAUCCUGGGACCAAUUUGAAAAAGAGCCAGAUCCUGGCUCUGAUCUUUGGAGACUUCAGAUAUUCUGGAUUGCCUAGACUCUAUGAACGUGUAAGAAGACCAGACCAGAAAUACUUUCUCUUUUCUGUGUAAAAACCUUAAUGUCAGAGAUAUUUAAAAAUGUCACAUAAUCUAUAUACCUUGUCAUAAACUUAUCUGUAAGUUACCAUUAAAUUGUUUUUUUGGUUUGG